AUUUGAAGUUCAUUAACUUUUGCCUAGCAAACUUCACAAUUAAUAAUUUGAUCAGGAAGAACUUGCUGAGCCUCUAUAUUAUGUUCAAGAUGUUGUAUUAAGUACUGUGAGAAUACAAUACUUCCUAGACAUGCACUCAGCUCUAGGAAGAGUUUCUAGUAUAGAAUAUAGUUUUGUUUUUUUUUAAAGUACACACAUAAUUAUAGUACAAUGUAGAAAAUAACAAGGGU